UCACUUUAAAUCAACGCUUGAAGUCCCUAUAUUGGACCUGCCGGCUUGCCGGAUAUGACGAUAAACGCGCGUGUAAUAACCGGACUGGACCCGGGUGCAAUUCCCGGCGGCUCCACCAAUUUCUCCGGCGUUCAUUUCGCCGGCUUCAUGGGGCCGAUCAGGAUCGACAGACGGCUAAAGACGUCAGCUUUCGUUCGAUUGGGUACCGUUAAAUGCCCAUUAUAGUAGUUGCAAAUGACAACUAUGCUGAAGAGGUCGCUCUCGCUGCGUAAUGCGGCGCGAUGACUUCGAUUUAAGUCCUCGGCUCUAGCAAGUCGCAGGCGGGGUUCGGCGGGCGCCUG
rnacentral:tmRNA from 1 species